ACACGCAUGACACACUGCAUAUCAAUAAGCGGAGGAAAAGAAACUAACAAGGAUUCCCUUAGUAACGGCGAGUGAAGCGGGAAGAGCUCAAAUUUGAAAUCUUCAAGGUUCUACCUUGACGAAUUGUAGUUUAUAGAAGUGUUUUCUGUUAGUAGAGUGGCAAAAGUUCUUUGGAAUAGGACAUCAUAGAGGGUGAGAAUCCCGUAUUUGGUCAUUCUUUCUAGCUUUGUGAUACACUUUCAACGAGUCGGAUUGUUUGGGAAUGCAGUCCAAAAUGGGUGGUAAAUUUCAUCUAAAGCUAAAUAUUGGCGAGAGACCGAUAGCGAACAAGUACCGUGAGGGAAAGAUGAAAAGAACUUUGAAAAGAGAGUUAAACAGUACGUGAAAUUGUCAAAAGGGAAGCGUUUGACACCAGUGUUGUUUUUCCGAAAAUCAAUUACGAAUGUUUUGUUUUUAAGAAGUUAUGACUUCAUCGGCUUGCUUCUUUCUUUACGAAACUUUCUUAAUGCACUUUUCGGUUAACAAGUCAACAUCAAUUUCCUUUGCUGUAAAAGGGUAUGAGGAAGGUGGCUUCAUUUCGAAUUGAAAGUGUUUAUAGCCUUGUACCUCUGCAAUCGGAGAGAUUGAGGUCUGCAGCGUAGAUCCUUCGGGGUUAGAUACAUUUGUGCUAAGUUAUAGCUUUUCAUAGACAACUUGUUGACUAUGUUUAGUCUUGUAGCUUACUCGCUUAUGCUAUUUUACCUACGCUUAGGAUGUUGAUCUACAGAGCGAGAGU
rnacentral:rRNA from 1 species